rnacentral:rRNA from 1 species
AGUGAACGCUGGCGGUAGGCCUAACACAUGCAAGUCGAACGGCAGCACAGUAAGAGCUUGCUCUUACGGGUGGCGAGUGGCGGACGGGUGAGGAAUACAUCGGAAUCUACUUUUUCGUGGGGGAUAACGUAGGGAAACUUACGCUAAUACCGCAUACGACCUACGGGUGAAAGCAGGGGAUCUUCGGACCUUGCGCGAUUGAAUGAGCCGAUGUCGGAUUAGCUAGUUGGCGGGGUAAAGGCCCACCAAGGCGACGAUCCGUAGCUGGUCUGAGAGGAUGAUCAGCCACACUGGAACUGAGACACGGUCCAGACUCCUACGGGAGGCAGCAGUGGGGAAUAUUGGACAAUGGGCGCAAGCCUGAUCCAGCCAUACCGCGUGGGUGAAGAAGGCCUUCGGGUUGUAAAGCCCUUUUGUUGGGAAAGAAAAGCAGCAGGUUAAUAACCCGCUGGUCUGACGGUACCCAAAGAAUAAGCACCGGCUAACUUCGUG